UCCUACGGGAGGCAGCAGUGGGGAAUAUUGCACAAUGGGCGCAAGCCUGAUGCAGCAACGCCGCGUGAGGGACGAAGGCCUUCGGGUUGUAAACCUCUUUUAGUAGGGAAGAAGCGACUGGGUUUUCCUGGGAGUGACGGUACCUGCUGAAAAAGCACCGGCUAACUACGUGCCAGCAGCCGCGGUAAUACGUAGGGUGCAAGCGUUGUCCGGAAUUAUUGGGCGUAAAGAGCUCGUAGGCGGUUUGUCGCGUCUGCUGUGAAAACCCGAGGCUCAACCUCGGGCCUGCAGUGGGUACGGGCAGACUAGAGUGCGGUAGGGGAGAUUGGAAUUCCUGGUGUAGCGGUGGAAUGCGCAGAUAUCAGGAGGAACACCAAUGGCGAAGGCAGAUCUCUGGGCCGUAACUGACGCUGAGGAGCGAAAGCAUGGGGAGCGAACAGGAUUAGAUACCCUGGUAGUCCAUGCCGUAAACGUUGGGAACUAGAUGUGGGGACCAUUCCACGGUCUCCGUGUCGCAGCUAACGCAUUAAGUUCCCCGCCUGGGGAGUACGGCCGCAAGGCUAAAACUCAAAGGAAUUGACGGGGGCCCGCACAAGCGGCGGAGCAUGCGGAUUAAUUCGAUGCAACGCGAAGAACCUUACCAAGGCUUGACAUAUACCGGAAACGGCUGGAAACAGUCGCCCCGCAAGGUCGGUAUACAGGUGGUGCAUGGUUGUCGUCAGCUCGUGUCGUGAGAUGUUGGGUUAAGUCCCGCAACGAGCGCAACCCUCGUCCUAUGUUGCCAGCACGUAAUGGUGGGAACUCAUGGGAUACUGCCGGGGUCAACUCGGAGGAAGGUGGGGAUGACGUCAAAUCAUCAUGCCCCUUAUGUCUUGGGCUUCACGCAUGCUACAAUGGCCGGUACAAAGGGCUGCGAUACCGCAAGGUGGAGCGAAUCCCAAAAAGCCGGUCUCAGUUCGGAUUGAGGUCUGCAACUCGACCUCAUGAAGUCGGAGUCGCUAGUAAUCGCAGAUCAGCAACGCUGCGGUGAAUACGUUCCCGGGCCUUGUACACACCGC
rnacentral:rRNA from 1 species